rnacentral:lncRNA from 1 species
AUGGCUAUAUCUUAAUGGGUCAGAGUUAAGGGUGUUUGGUUUGUUUAAUGGACAUGUCUGAAUGGUUCCAUGGCCUCUGACCGAUUCAGAUUUUAAAACAUCGCUGAAUGAGAGCUGAAUGAGAAGUUGACCUAAAUACCCACAAUCACACGUUUCCUCUCACCUGCUCCUCUUCUCCUCUUCUGGCGAUCACGCAAAUCACCACCAUCCAAGCACAUCAAGACUUCGACGAUUCCAAGCAAAUCUUCGCUCAUAACCAGGUUACAAUUAUUUAUGGAUUACGGCGAGAACACUGUGUUUUUAGAUGUACAAGACGGAGAAAGUGAUGGUCAGUUCGUUCACGACAUUGAAUGGGGUUCACAGGGCAUCGAGUAUAAGGCUACUUUGCGUAACCAGAUAGCUAGUCAACUAAUUUGAAAUGAUUAAAAUUAAAAUUGCACGCAAAAUAUUAAUUUGUAUUUAAAAUAUAGUAUAUUUUCAUGGAUUUUGAAGGAUUUAUGUGUAAUUUUGGAUUUUUUUUAUGUUUAUUAUUUUUCUUUUAUAAUUAUUCAUCAUUUUAUUCAGAUUAGCCAAACAGAUAGAUUUAAUUCAACAUAAAAUAGUUCAGAGGGGUAAAGUAGUCAUUGUGCAUAGUCAUUCAGAGGUCCAAC